rnacentral:rRNA from 1 species
UGGGGAAUUUUGGACAAUGGGCGCAAGCCUGAUCCAGCCAUGCCGCGUGAGUGAAGAAGGCCUUCGGGUUGUAAAGCUCUUUCAGGUGGAAAGAAAUCGCACUUUCUAAUACAAGGUGUGGAUGACGGUACCAUCAGAAGAAGCACCGGCUAACUACGUGCCAGCAGCCGCGGUAAUACGUAGGGUGCGAGCGUUAAUCGGAAUUACUGGGCGUAAAGCGUGCGCAGGCGGUUAUGUAAGACAGAUGUGAAAUCCCCGGGCUCAACCUGGGAACUGCGUUUGUGACUGCAUAACUAGAGUACGGCAGAGGGAGGUGGAAUUCCGCGUGUAGCAGUGAAAUGCGUAGAGAUGCGGAGGAACACCGAUGGCGAAGGCAGCCUCCUGGGCCAGUACUGACGCUCAUGCACGAAAGCGUGGGGAGCAAACAG